rnacentral:lncRNA from 1 species
AUUAAUAUGAUUAUUUAAUUUAAAAAUAACGAUAAUAUUGUAAAACUAUAUUGUUAGGAGGGUCAUUGUCUAUUAUGAAAAUUAUAGGGGGUAAGUGGUAAUAUAUUGAUUUCAAUAUGGGUAAAUUGCAUGUAAUCUGGCAAUACCUCCAUACCCCAAAUAUCCCAUCAGCAAAAUACUUGGUGGUGUUUAGUUUAAAGAAAUGAUUGGAGAGGAGAGGAGAGGAGAUGAGAGGAGAGGAGUGGAGAAGAGGGAAGAGGGGAUUUCAAUUUUCAUUGUUUGGUUUGGCAAGGAAUUCUAAAUGGAAAUGGAUAGAUUAUUAUUUACUUAGACAAAUUUACCCUUUGUGUUAAGAUUUUAAUAUUUGUUAUUAAGUAAAAAUAAAAA